AUACGAUGCAUCAGUUUAAUCCGUGUGUAUUCGUUUUUGGGAUUAUAUUUUAUUUAUGGACAGUAAAAUAUUGCGGAAAAUUUUCAAUUAGCCCACAUAAUGACGAAUUCUGGCACAUUUUUUUUCGUUGAAACCGCAUUAGGUCUUAGAUGAUGUCUGUGCAUGAGACGCGCACUUCUACACCCGUUUCUGUUUAUUUCAGUCUGAAUGAACAUGAACAUACUUUGCAGGUCUUAUAAAAGGGAAAGGGCGAACGUGCUGCGCUUUUUUUCUCGAGUGAAACUUUUUUUGCAGCAGUACAAAAGCCGUUGCUGUUAGAUGUCAGUGUACGGGGUGGGUGUGACCGAGCAGAAGGGGAAAGCCACGGUUCAACCGCUGACUUACUUUGAAUGGCAGUAGCACUACGAAAUCCAGCCUACUGGGUGAAUAGCGAGAGGACAAGCCAGCCUGACAGCGAGGGUCAUUAUAUCAUUACUGCCAUCGGUGGAAGUACAUCUGCUAGACAGUCACGCAUAUAUCUCAUAGUUAAAAAGUGUCCUGCGUCUCCGGUCUCGGACGUUCAAGUUUGCAGCUCCGGAGGGGAGAAGCGACGGAAUGGAGGAGGAUUCAGCUUCGCCGCAAGGUUCAGUCCUCCGGGGAACUGCACAAAACCAGAGUGGAAUAAUGGUGCAGGGCGUGAUCUGGCUCGGUGGAAAUACACUGCGACCUUCAGUACCCCCCUGAGGGAAAGCCACCCAGGUGCAAGUAGGGAUCGUGAAAACCGGACCAGUCAUCAGUGGAGCUGCUUAAAGCAACGCCCUGGCAGGAAGCGGUGGUUUGGUUGCCCCCGAGGGAGCUGUGGAGAGGAUGGAGCCAAAAUAAUAGCCAUGGAACAUUCUAGAGGGCGAACGUCGCAGGGAUCGGUCAACAGGAAGUGACUUCAGCAGUAGGAAUGACCAUCGCUUACAUCACCGGUGCAGAGGAUUAAGCACUCCUUCACUGUGGGAAGAGCGAGCUGUCAGCACCUACUUAUACAAUAACCCCAGCGACGGGCUGAUUGUCACUGCUGAAUGGGCUCUCGGCUCUGUAAAGAAAGCCUCUCUGAUUUGUUCUCACCAGUAUAAGUUCUGGGAGAUUCCCAUAGGGCUGUUUUCCAGAAGCACAAGGUUAGUGAGAUUCUGUGGAAAUAACAAAAAUUGCCGAUAGAAUUAUUUCAGAGUGAAUUUUAAUGAUUUCAGGCUCUACCGUCUGUAAAAUACAGUACAGUAUAGUCGGUAUUCACAGUCCAUUUCAAAGCAAAGUUGAUUUAGGGUCGUCCUUCUUCUCCUUCUUCUCCUCCUUCUUCUUCUCCUUCUUCUCCUUCUUCUUCUUCUUAUUAUUAUUAUUAUUUAUUAUUGCAUCAGUGGAAAAUGGCAUAACUGAUGAUCCUAAAGCCGCAUUUGUUUUUAGUUCAAAACAGAUACACAUAUUAACAUUACAGUUUAAACCAUUUCUCUAGCAAAAUACGCUAAUAUUGCCUUUUCACAACAGCCCAGUUAUGCUGAACACAGCAAACCUAUAUUUGCAUCAAAGCUGCUCCCCAGAUGCAUGAUCUGGAAGCUUCCGUGCUCCAUGCUCAGGCUGCGGCUGCAGGGCAGCGGGAUCACAGCGGUGUGUGCACUAGCCGUCGCUUGCCACGGUGUUUUCCCUGCACCGUGAGCCGGUUACCUUUAUGCAGGUGCCCCCAGGCAGUCGUCCACCCCCCCACCCCCAGCGCUCCAGCUUUCUCAGUAUCCACCCGUGAAUGAAAGAAGAUCAUUGUUCACCUGCUUCUGGAGGACUGGUGGAGAUCUCAGAGACACCACUGGGAAACGUUCCCACCAGGCAGAAGUGACUCAGCUAGUGAGUCAGCAUCUUGCUGCACCCCUUCCCACCUACCUGAACCUAAAAAUAGCCCCCCCAGCCCACGCACACAUACUGGCAUUGGUCACUUUAUUGUUUAUUGUACAGAGGUCUUAAGCAGCCAAAGAAAACGAUGUUUAAAUGAUCUUCCUGUUGGCGUAAAACCGUGAUGGUAUGAUUACCACGCUGUGUCAGCCACUAAAAUCACCCCCCUGCUUGCAGCCGCCGCCCAAAGCAGACGUGUGGUCUUUGAAUUAACCACUAGAACUUUUUUAAUCUAAUAAAGUUAAUUAAGUGAGCAGGUGGUGAAAUUUAAUAAGCACACGGAAUGGCUGAGGUGCCCCCCAGGAGAGCUUUGGGUACGGAAGCGCUGUUCAUCUAGCCGUCCAGCAGGGUAUCUGUAACUUUUUGCGGAAUAAAAUUAAUUUUCACUAGUUCUUAUUGUGUGACUCUUAAUUUGUGUAUGUUUUAAAGCUAUUUGGGGUUUUUGCUCCGUCCAGAAGUGCACUUACUACACAGACAAGUCGCUUUAAACAUUCCCUUUGACUGCCUAACCCUUUCGAAAGCCUUUUCUGUGUGUAUCCUUACUGUUCUGUGCUGGUACGUUAUUACUGUCGGCAACACACUCAGCUACUGAAGUCCAGCCCCCCUUGUCUUGUACCAUCCUGUGUUUUUACGCUUUUUGAAUGACCAUGAAUCCCUCAUUUUGUCACUCGCUGUCUGUUCGCCACACCAGGCUUCUAGCAGAAUGUUAUUUCAUACCUCUGUGUACAUGGAUUGUAUGACAAUAAAGCCCAUUUGACUGAA